CUUUCUAGACCAGACUUCCCUUUGUCUGAGUAUCCAGUGCGUCGCCCGACGUCUGCCGUGCAUCACGUGUGACUCCUUCAAGACUUGCUUCUGUGGUCCCGAGCCCUGUCUUAUCACAUCGCCUUCAGUUAUGCAGGUUGCUGGUUGGGGAAGGCAUCUUUGAAAACGGCUGAUGAUUGAAGAUGCAGUCAGCAGUGGGCCUUCGAGUCGAGUGAUAGAAGGCAUCAUGAUGAUCUCGUUGUACCAACUCGCAUUCUCUCCACACGUGGCGUUGCUCCGGCACGUGGCACGCGGCGCCACUUGAGCGCGCUGCGACGGGGCGCAAGUGGCGCCACCAACACCUGAAGCGCCAAAGUCAACCUCACCUGCACGCGGCGCGCCCUGCUCACACCGACGAGGCUCUGGCGACUCCUUUACUCUUCACAUCAGAUAAAGAUUUCUAGGUUCUCCUUCUACUCUUUACCUGAUAUUAAGAGUAAUAGAUUAAGUUCUAGAUUUAAGUAAAAAUAAUAAUAUUUUUGAUAUACAAUAAGCUUUUAAUAUAAUAAUAGGUGUUGUCUUUAGGAUAAGUAUCGCAUUUUUAUUAAUAAAAAUUAGGGUCUAGGGCGACCAA
rnacentral:lncRNA from 1 species